AUUGAACGCUGGCGGCAGGCCUAACACAUGCAAGUCGAGCGGAGCGGCGGACGGGUGAGUAAUGCCUAGGAAUCUGCCUGGUAGUGGGGGAUAACGUCCGGAAACGGGCGCUAAUACCGCAUACUAUCAGAUGAGCCUAGGUCGGAUUAGCUAGUUGGUGGGGUAAAGGCCUACCAAGGCGACGAUCCGUAACUGGUCUGAGAGGAUGAUCAGUCACCCUGGAACUGAGACACGGUCCACACUCCUCCUUCCUCCCUCCUUUUGUCCUAUUGUACUCUUUACGAAAGCCUGAUCCAGCCAUGCCGCGUGUGUGAACACUUUCUUCAGAUUAUCACGCACUUUAAGUUGGGAGGCGUUACCAACAGAAUAAGCACCGGCUAACUUCGUGCCAGCAGCCGCGGUAAUUC
rnacentral:rRNA from 1 species